rnacentral:rRNA from 1 species
UACGGGGGGGGUAAGCGUUGUUCGGAAUUACUGGGCGUAAAGGGCGCGUAGGCGGCUUAACAAGUCACUUGUGAAAUCUCCGGGCUUAACUCGGAACGGCCAAGUGAAACUGUCAAGCUAGAGUGCAGAAGGGGCAAUCGGAAUUCUUGGUGUAGCGGUGAAAUGCGUAGAUAUCAAGAGGAACACCUGAGGUGAAGACGGGUUGCUGGGCUGACACUGACGCUGAGGCGCGAAAGCCAGGGGAGCAAACGGG